rnacentral:rRNA from 1 species
AUCUGAUCUCAAAUCAGGUAGGACUACCCGCUGAACUUAAGCAUAUCAAUAAGCGGAGGAAAAGAAACUAACAAGGAUUCCCCUAGUAACGGCGAGUGAAGCGGGAAGAGCUCAAAUUUAAAAUCUGGCGGUGUAUUCCGUCCGAGUUGUAGUCUAGAGAAGCAUCAUCCGCGCUGGACCAUGUACAAGUCUCUUGGAAUAGAGCGUCAUAGAGGGUGAGAAUCCCGUCCUUGACAUGGACUCCCAGUGCUUUGUGUUGUGCUCUCAACGAGUCGAGUUGUUUGGGAAUGCAGCUCAAAAUGGGUGGUAAAUUCCAUCUAAAGCUAAAUAUUGGCGAGAGACCGAUAGCGAACAAGUACCGUGAGGGAAAGAUGAAAAGCACUUUGGAGAGAGAGUUAAACAGUACGUGAAAUUGUUGAAAUGGAAACGCUUGAAGUCAGUCGCGUUCUCUGGGAUUCAGCCUUGCUUCUGCUUGGUGCAUUUCCUAGUCUACGGGCCAGCAUGAAUUUUGACCGUUGGAAAAAGGCAGGGGGAAUGUGGCACCUCCGGGUGUGUUAUAGCCCCUUGUCACACACGGCGGUUGGGAUUGAGGAUUCAGUGCACGC